rnacentral:rRNA from 1 species
ACGUGGGUAACCUGCCUGUAAGACUGGGAUAACUCCGGGAAACCGGGGCUAAUACCGGAUGCUUGUUUGAACCGCAUGGUUCAGACAUAAAAGGUGGCUUCGGCUACCACUUACAGAUGGACCCGCGGCGCAUUAGCUAGUUGGUGAGGUAACGGCUCACCAAGGCGACGAUGCGUAGCCGACCUGAGAGGGUGAUCGGCCACACUGGGACUGAGACACGGCCCAGACUCCUACGGGAGGCAGCAGUAGGGAAUCUUCCGCAAUGGACGAAAGUCUGACGGAGCAACGCCGCGUGAGUGAUGAAGGUUUUCGGAUCGUAAAGCUCUGUUGUUAGGGAAGAACAAGUGCCGUUCAAAUAGGGCGGCACCUUGACGGUACCUAACCAGAAAGCCACGGCUAACUACGUGCCAGCAGCCGCGGUAAUACGUAGGUGGCAAGCGUUGUCCGGAAUUAUUGGGCGUAAAGGGCUCGCAGGCGGUUUCUUAAGUCUGAUGUGAAAGCCCCCGGCUCAACCGGGGAGGGUCAUUGGAAACUGGGGAACUUGAGUGCAGAAGAGGAGAGUGGAAUUCCACGUGUAGCGGUGAAAUGCGUAGAGAUGUGGAGGAACACCAGUGGCGAAGGCGACUCUCUGGUCUGUAACUGACGCUGAGGAGCGAAAGCGUGGGGAGCGAACAGGAUUAGAUACCCUGGUAGUCCACGCCGUAAACGAUGAGUGCUAAGUGUUAGGGGGUUUCCGCCCCUUAGUGCUGCAGCUAACGCAUUAAGCACUCCGCCUGGGGAGUACGGUCGCAAGACUGAAACUCAAAGGAAUUGACGGGGGCCCGCACAAGCGGUGGAGCAUG